rnacentral:rRNA from 1 species
UCCCUCCCACGGGGGGCAGCAGUAGGGAAUCUUCCACAAUGGGCGAAAGCCUGAUGGAGCAACGCCGCGUGGGUGAAGAAGGUCUUCGGAUCGUAAAACCCUGUUGUUAGAGAAGAAAGUGCGUGAGAGUAACUGUUCACGUUUCGACGGUAUCUAACCAGAAAGCCACGGCUAACUACGUGCCAGCAGCCGCGGUAAUACGUAGGUGGCAAGCGUUAUCCGGAUUUAUUGGGCGUAAAGAGAACGCAGGCGGUCUUUUAAGUCUGAUGUGAAAGCCUUUGGCUUAAACGG